CAAUAGCGUAUAUUAAAGUUGUUGCAGUUAAAAAGCUCGUAGUUGAAUUUCGGGUCCCCGCGCUCGGCGCUUCAUUGUGCCGUCGUGGUGUCCCUCCUCGCCGUAAGGCGUCCUUUACUGUGAAAAAAUUAGAGUGUUCAAAGCAGGCAAUCGCUUGAAUACAUUAGCAUGGAAUAAUAAGAUAGGAUCUUGUCUAUUUUGUUGGUUGCGGACAACGAUAAUGAUUAAUAGGGAUAGUUGGGGGUGUCCGUAUUGAGCUGUCAGAGGUGAAAUUCUUGGAUUUGCUCAAGACGAGCUACUGCGAAAGCAUUCACCAAGGAUGUUUUCAUUAA
rnacentral:rRNA from 1 species